UACGUAGGGUGCAAGCGUUGUCCGGAAUUACUGGGCGUAAAGCGCACGUAGGCGGAUACUUAAGUCAGGGGUGAAAUCCCGGGGCUCAACCCCGGAACUGCCUUUGAUACUGGGUAUCUCGAGUCCGGAAGAGGUGAGUGGAAUUCCGAGUGUAGAGGUGAAAUUCGUAGAUAUUCGCAAGAACACCAGUGGCGAAGGCGGCUCACUGGCCCGGUACUGACGCUGAGGCACGAAAGCGUGGGGAGCAAACAGG
rnacentral:rRNA from 1 species